CCCACGUUUUCUUGCAACAUACAAAACAGUAUAAAAACACAUAACUUUAGCAUUUUAAUAGACAAUUCGUGCAUUCUACCGUUCAUUAUGUAGCCCAGAUCUGAGCACAGCAGAUAGUCAAAUAGCACUCAGAACUCACGAAAGGUAUGGUUAGUUUCAUCAAUAUAAAGUCUGUUCGUGUCUUUUGUCCCGAACCUGAGACAGCGGCCAUGUUUUCAAGUGAGUUAAUGGGCAGCGGGACCUCGACCCCAAACUCAUGGAACGAGUAGCGGCCAGGGGUUUACACGAAUCCCCGUUCUCCUGAUGGUUUCCCCAGCCGUUCGGGAAACUAACGGAGACCGCCGGGAAGGGGUACUUAACCUGCGGUUAACCGCAAAACCAACAUUCUAAUUGGGGCCAUACACCAGGAUGUAGGUAGUCCUCGUUCGUGAGUCUUUCGGUAGUUUUAGUUCGGGAAAUAGUGCACGAACGGGAAUGCCCUGGGACCGUCAAUUAGGCUGUGGUUAACCGCAGACCGCAGCUCCCUUGGCGAUUAAUUAGAGACACGUUCCGCUCGUAGGGUGGUCAGUUGUUCGGGUAUUGGAGAGGUGACAAGGGUUAAGUGGCGGCACAUGCCAGGGGCCGGGUGGUCUGUUGUUCAUAUACACGAAUGGGUAACGGGAAAUCGGUUCGGGGAUUAGGUUACACAGUUAAAAUACCGAAACAAGGUUCUGUGAGGAAACAGAAAAGAGCAAUAUUGUAACAGUCUGUAGAGCUUUUCUAA